rnacentral:lncRNA from 1 species
ACCUUUAUCAGGAACUUUAAUAAGAAUUUAAACAGAAAACCUCUUUGUAUUUGUAUCCCUCAAUUUGGAAGUGCAGGGGUCAUAAAAGAUGAAAGAGUACUGAGUUCAUGUGAGAUGGUCCAAGUGCUGGGUGAGAAGUAAGCUAUUCACUUCCUGACGCUGAGUCAGAGGUGUUCGUCGAGGACCUUGUCAUCUGAAGGCGUCUGUUCCCCCUAUACUACCGCCAGAGCUUUUCUUCUCUGCCACCAGGGCAGACUUGGGCUCGGUGCGCUCAGCCAGCAGCAGCCCAGACACAGCCUGCUCUACGACGGCGGCGUCAUCCUUCCGGGGAGGGAACCCGUUUCCCGGAUUUCUUACUAUUUCGGUCAUGGUGAGCAGGGUCGGGAAAAAGGAAACCAUAACGAUGAAUAACCCUGGGAUGAUGGAAUAGCAGACUACUGACGCAGGAAGCUACGUGCAUGAAUCUCAAACCGCGACGCCAAGUGAAAGGAGACUUCCCGGGAGCACGUACCAGUGCUAUCUAUAUGCGCUCCCGGGACAGGCAAAACUCGUGGACGGCAGAGCAGUGACGCUGCUGGGGCUGCAGGUGGGCAGAGCGGGAAGGGCUUGGAGAACGUUCCCGGGCGUGAUGCUCGGAGCUGUCGCCUGCACUAAACUCGCGACGCGAGGUUAAGGCUGUGCGCUCCGCGGUCCCUGAACCUGGCACCUACAAACACUCCACCAGGGCAAGUGCGCUAGAGCUCGGGGCCACGCGCGCCAAGCCCGCGAGGCUGGCUACCAAGUCGGGCUCCCGCACUCGCACGCCAGCCCCCACCCGCCAGGACGUCGCAGCCAGGCGCCGAGGCUCGGCGCGCGCUCCGGGAGGGUUCUGGCGACGGGCAGGGGCAGGGCCAGGGCCGGGCGCCUGCGGCCGCAGGUUACGCGCACUUCAGCUCACGUGCCCCACUGGUCUCCUUGGGCCGGAGGCCUCAGUUCGGAGGCUACCGAGACGCGGCCCAGGAGGACCAGACCCGUGAAGGUUCCGGGGAUGGCCCUCCUAGGGAGCCGUAGCCAAGACGGUCGCGGUCUCCCUGGGCACAUGACCCAGGCCUGGCCAGUCACAGAACGCCAGGCUCCGGUCUGAGUGAUUGGGUCAGAGACAGGCACAUGACCCACGAUGGACCAAUGAGAGCCCAGCCAUGAAUGCUGAAGGUGGAGCCAGAGUCAGUUGAGCCGCGGGCAAAAUUUUCACUUUCCUCUGAAGACGGCUGAGUGCCAACCAGUGUCCCAGGGAAACUUGCGCCCAGUCCGAGGUCCGAGCGCGCGGGAACCACGGCACGCGUCGUAACUGAUGGCCAGCCCCGAUGUCCCCAGGGCGCCGGCGGUUCGGUCGCGGGUGGGUCUAGGAUCCAUACAGGGCACGCGCGCCGCGUGGCAGGUGACAGUAUCCAGUGACUCUAGUUGCAAAUUACGAAAAGCCCAUCGCUAUGGUCCUGAGAAGUCGGCUGAGGACGCCCUCAGGUAACAACACCCUGCAGGUGCCUGAGACGGGAGGGCAGCGAGCAUGGCCUUAUGGACCACCGAACUCCCGAGGAACCCUUGGACUCGUUAGCUACAGUGCAUUUGCUACGAAACACCCUUAAUGUCUGCAAUUCGGUGUUGUCGGCAUAUUCGGAGUCGAGCAGAUAUCACUGAUGACCGAUUUUACUUUUUCAUUUCCCAGAAAGAACCUGUACCCACUAGCAGUCACUCUCUCCGCUCCUCCCCCAGCCCUAGAAAUCUACUGUCAGUCCCUACAGACCUACCUUUAAUAUCUCAUGGGACAUACUUAUACUAAAAAAUUAUCUGUUGCUUAUGACUUCCCAGUAAGAACCCUAAAGCUUAGGAAAUAAUGCCAAGAAUUAAUAAAUGGGAUGGCAUCAAAUUAAAAAGCUUCUGC